rnacentral:rRNA from 1 species
CUCCUACGGGAGGCAGCAGUGAGGAAUAUUGGUCAAUGGGCGCAGGCCUGAACCAGCCAAGUAGCGUGAAGGAUGACUGCCCUAUGGGUUGUAAACUUCUUUUAUAUGGGAAUAAAGUUUUCCACGUGUGGAAUUUUGUAUGUACCAUAUGAAUAAGGAUCGGCUAACUCCGUGCCCAGCAGCCGCGGUAAUACGGAGGAUCCGAGCGUUAUCCGGAUUUAUUGGGUUUAAAGGGAGCGUAGGUGGACAGUUAAGUCAGUUGUGAAAGUUUGCGGCUCAACCGUAAAAUUGCAGUUGAUACUGGCUGUCUUGAGUACAGUAGAGGUGGGCGGAAUUCGUGGUGUAGCGGUGAAAUGCUUAGAUAUCACGAAGAACUCCGAUUGCGAAGGCAGCUCACUGGACUGCAACUGACACUGAUGCUCGAAAGUGUGGGUAUCAAACAGGAUUAGAUACCCUGGUAGUCCACACAGUAAACGAUGAAUACUCGCUGUUUGCGAUAUACAGUAAGCGGCCAAGCGAAAGCAUUAAGUAUUCCACCUGGGGAGUACGCCGGCAACGGUGAAACUCAAAGGAAUUGACGGGGGCCCGCACAAGCGGAGGAACAUGUGGUUUAAUUCGAUGAUACGCGAGGAACCUUACCAGGUCUUGACAUCCGUGUAAAGCCGCAGAGAUGCGAUGUGAGCUUGCUCAAUACGAGACAGGUGGUGCAUGGUUGUCGUCAGCUCGUGUCGUGAGAUGUUGGGUUAAGUCCCGCAACGAGCGCAACCCUUAUCGUCCGUUACUAACGCGUAAAGGCGAGGACUCAGACGAGACCGCCGGGGACAACUCGGAGGAAGGUGGGGACGACGUCAAAUCAUCAUGCCCUUUAUGACUUGGGCUACACACGUACUACAAUGGCGUUAAACAAAGAGAAGCAAGACCGCGAGGUGGAGCAAAACUCAGAAACAACGUCCCAGUUCGGACUGCAGGCUGCAACUCGCCUGCACGAAGUCGGAAUUGCUAGUAAUCGUGGAUCAGCAUGCCACGGUGAAUACGUUCCCGGGCCUUGUACACACCGC